rnacentral:misc_RNA from 1 species
AACGCACAUUGCGCUCUCUGGUAUUCCGGGGAGCAUGCUCGUUUCAGAAUCAUCACAAUCUCGAGGAGCAUCUCUGCAUCGUUGUUUGACAUGCGCAGAUGUCUUUUUGGAUGUGGGCUUUCACUUUUUUGCCUCUCUGGGGCAAAAUGGCCUUAAACUGAUAGCCGUUCGCCUCCGGUCCUGGGACCGGUCGUCACCAAGUGCAGCAGAUUUUAUUUGUUUUCUCUUGGACGACUCGAUCUCAAGCUGGAACGUGGUUUGAACGCACCAAGCAUCAACACAAGAGGUGUCGAAAGACGGCUCUUGAAGACUUGGUCUGAAAUCGAGCAAGAAAACCCGCUGAACUUAA